CCCCCCCCCCCCCCCCCCCCCCCCCCCCCCCCCCCCCCCCCCCCCCCCCCCCCCCCCCCCCCCCCCCCCCCCGCGCCAGAUGUCCUCAGGUUCUCUGCCGCACCCGCUGGUGUUCGGGGCCGCGGGCGGGCGGAAAGAGUCCGUCGUGCUCACGGGGGAUCUGGAGCCCGUCAGGUCCAAGCUGCCCUCCAAUUUGUGAGGACUCCUGCAGGAGCUGCCCGUGCCAGCUCUGCCCUUCGGUUCUGAUGAGUUCACCGAGCAGUUUUUUCCUUUCUUUCUCCCCGCUCUACUCCUGCUUUUUUUUUUUUUUUUUUCCCCCCCCCCCCCCCCCCCCCCCCCCCCCCCCCCCCCCCCCUUUUUUUUUUUUUUUUUUUCCCCCCUCCAUUUCUUUCGUUUAGGUUUAAGUGUGCUUAGAAACAAGGACAAAACACAUGAAAAACAACUGGAAAAAAAAACAAAAAAAGAAGAUAACCAGGUUCAUCUUGACACAGGAGUUGAAGCAGACUCGCAGACCCUCUCUUGUUUUCAGAGGCAGAAGGAAGACUCACAAUAUCCUUUUCAGUUUUUUUUUUUUUGUUGUUGUUGUUGUUUUUAGCAAACCUUUCCCUUAUGUGCCAGAGGGAUCCUGGCCGAGCAGCUGGAGAGCUCCAUGUGGGGCUGGGCAGGGGGGAGUCCAGCCCUCCUGGUCCUGUGGCUGCUGCACUGGCCCCAAAUCCUGGCCACACUGGGGCCCCCCAGACCCUCAGGGGUGCCCCCUCCUCACUGUGGGACACCCUCCCUGGCUUUGCUUCCCUCGGGGAUCUUCUUUGGGUUUCCAGCUGUCAGCACUGCAGUAGCCAACAUUGAGUUAUUCUGACUGGACCCCAGUCAACACUAGGCUUGUCUCUGUAGAUGGAACUAUAUUUAUUACUAUUAUUAUUAUU
rnacentral:lncRNA from 12 species